rnacentral:lncRNA from 1 species
AAAAACUUUUCUUGAGACGACAAAUUUCCAUACAGUAUAUGCCCCAAAGAUGCUAGCUAUAAUCACAGACAUCAUAAAUUUAUAUAUUUACCAAGAAUUCAACAUGUUGCAGUAGACAUUGGAAAGAUACCUGUGAUCUUUUUAAAAUUAAGAAUACAACAACAAAUUACAAAGUAACUUAACAGCAACAUCCAACAUCCGACAUGCAACAAAACAACUAGCAACAUCCAAUUUAUGACACAGCAGCAAAUUAAUUGUUAAAUGUCCAAUAAAUUAACUGUCCAACAGUAAAGUAACUUAAUAGCAACAUCCAACAUCCAACAUAAAGUUUAAAAAUACAGCAGCAAUAAGCCAACAAAUUAACUGUCCUUAAGACCUUAACAAAGUUUAUGACUUAACAAAGCAGCUAGCACCCUACAUGAACUUAUUCUACCAGAAGGCAGCAGCUAGCACCCAGCAGUUGUGCAACAGCCAACAAAAACAUGAACAAGCAUUUAUCCAUUGAGUCAACAUCAACAUGUAUCCGUAAAUUGCUUACUUUACUGAUUUGACUAGCACAAGUUGAUACUAUUGAGUGUGAUCUGGUGAUUAUUUGUAAUUCCUUGUUGUAGAUGAAUAAAUGCAAUAUAUAAUUUCAAAAUUCAACCAAGCUAUAUGAGAGAAAAUUUAUGCACAACUGAGGCUUACUUCUACAUGGUAAGACAACAACAAAAACAAGUAAUGGAAUGAUUUACUAGAUCUUCUAUGUGAAUACUGCUUAAAGACACUGAUA